rnacentral:lncRNA from 10 species
GUAACUUGCUCCUCACCUUCCACCGUGAUUGUGAGGCCUCCCCAGCCAUGUGGAACUAUUAUCUGAGUAGGCUGAACCAUCGGUGAAAAGGAGGCCAAGCAUCUCAAAAAUAGGACACGUGAGAGUAUGGAGCCAAUGUGACACUCAGAUUUGACACAUACAGAAGCGUGAAAAACUCUUGUGUGACUGGGAUAGCUCCUCUGCAAUGAGAACAUGCCUGGGAUAAUGUACUGAAAAGAUGUGAGAAAUACAUGAAGCAGAGUCCAGUCAUCCCAGCCAAGAACCAGCUGUGAAUGUAACCGCAUGACUUUGAGGCAAGUCCAGACCAAGAACAAAGAACCACUGGUCUUAAAGACAGACCUGCAGAUUCCUGAGCUAAAUAAAAGUUUAUUGUUGAAAGGCA